ACUACGGGUGGCAGCAGUGGGGAAUAUUGCGCAAUGGGCGAAAGCCUGAAGCAGCGACGCAGCGUGAGGGAUGAAGGUCUUAGGAUCGGAAACCUCUGUCAGCAGGGAAGAACGGUCACUGUGCUAAUCAGCAGUGAAUUGACGGUACCUGCAAAGGAAGCACCGGCUAACUCCGUGCCAGCAGCCGAGGUAAUACGGAGGGUGCGAGCGUUAAUCGGUUUUACUGGGCGUAAAGCGCGCGUAGGCGGUAUGUCAAGUCAAGGGUGAAAUCCCCGCGCUCAACGUGGGAACUGCCUUUGAAACUGGCAAACUGGAGUGUGUGAGAGGCUAGUGGAAUUCCCGGUGUAGGGGUGAAAUCCGUAGAUAUCUGGAGGAACAUCAGUUGCGAAGGCGACUGUCUGGCACAUAACUGACGCUGAGGCGCGAAAGCGUGGGUAGCAAACAGGAUUAGAUACCCGAGUAGUC
rnacentral:rRNA from 1 species